rnacentral:rRNA from 1 species
UACGAAGGGGGCUAGCGUUGCUCGGAAUCACUGGGCGUAAAGGGUGCGUAGGCGGGUCUUUUAAGUCAGGGGUGAAAUCCUGGAGCUCAACUCCAGAACUGCCUUUGAUACUGAGGAUCUUGAGUUCCGGGAGAGGUGAGUGGAACUGCGAGUGUAGAGGUGAAAUUCGUAGAUAUUCGCAAGAACACCAGUGGCGAAGGCGGCUCACUGGCCCGGUAUGACGCUGAGGUG